CUUGAGGGAGCCGAGCCACAGAGGACGGUCUUCGGGCCGGUCCUGGCCGUACGUGGCGAUCAGCGCCUGGGCCUC
rnacentral:antisense_RNA from 1 species